AGCUGCCUCUCCCGCCGAGUUGGAGACGGAUGGGCUGGGACGGGUUUGGGGGGGGUGUCCCCAAUUCUGACUGGGAAUGGAGAAGCCCCCUCCUGAGCUCUGUUGUGGGGGUCCCCCCUCCCUAGAGCACUCCCCACUCUCUAAGCCAGUCGAGAGGAAGGAGGCCAGCGAUGCGACUGGGGCGGCUCCUUUCUCCUGCACCCCAAAUGUGAGGGAUGCACCCCAAAUUUUUCUCCCUCCAAAAAUAGGGGACCAGGAUCUCAGGGGAGAGUAGCUGAGGCCUUGGUCCGAGUCCCAGAUGAUCCAGGGGUCCAGGGUGAACAGUGAGAGGGGUCAGAGGUGGAAAGCUCCGUGGGAGAGCAGAGGGUCAGCAGAGGUCAUGAGAAGUCCCAGAAUCUAGGGUCAGGCUGUCUGGAACAGGAAGUAAAAUAAGCAGAGAUGGAGCGAGCCCCAAAUAUGCUUUCAAGAAAACGCCCACCUCGCCAAAGCACCCCGCUCCUGACUGACCCAAACCCCUGCACCGUGUAUAAGAGAGCACCUUCCUUUCCAAAGCCCCUGUACAAAGGAGGGGGCUCCAGCUGAGACCCGCCCUACCAGCCAGUUCUCAAGGGGAUGCUAACAAAACUAGCCAGCGAAGUAGGAAAGGUAUUGAGCUGGUUGGGAGUUCUGAGGAGGAUGGAACAAUGGGUUCGGAGGAAGAAAGCUGCCCACCCCCUUUCUCUGCCAGCCACCCUCCCUCACACUGUCCGUUCCUUGAUGACACAGCUGAUGUGAUUAAGAUCGUCCCCAAAUCGCUUCA